AUUGAACGCUGGCGGCAGGCUUAACACAUGCAAGUCGAGCGGGGGAAGGUAGCUUGCUACCGGACCUAGCGGCGGACGGGUGAGUAAUGCUUAGGAAUCUGCCUAUUAGUGGGGGACAACAUCUCGAAAGGGAUGCUAAUACCGCAUACGUCCUACGGGAGAAAGCAGGGGAUCUUUGGACCUUGCGCUAAUAGAUGAGCCUAAGUCGGAUUAGCUAGUUGGUGGGGUAAAGGCCUACCAAGGCGACGAUCUGUAGCGGGUCUGAGAGGAUGAUCGGCCACACUGGGACUGCGACACGGCCCAGACUCCUACGGGAGGCAGCAGUGGGGAAUAUUGGACAAUGGGGGGAACCCUGAUCCAGCCAUGCCGCGUGUGUGAAGAAGGCCUUAUGGUUGUAAAGCACUUUAAGCGAGGAGGAGGCUACUUUAGUUAAUACCUAGAGAUAGUGGACGUUACUCGCAGAAUAAGCACCGGCUAACUCUGUGCCAGCCGCCGCGGUAA
rnacentral:rRNA from 1 species